ACCCCUGUGAGAAUGCCCUACUUCUUCUGACACGAAGAAAAGGAGCAGAUAUUAGGCACAACCCUUCGUUAGCCCAAAACGUCUUGCUUAGCCACACCCCCAAGGGACCUCAGCAGUAAUAAACAUUAAGCAAUAAGUGUAAACUUGACUUAGUUAAAACCAAAAGGGCCGGUAAAACUCGUGCCAGCCACCGCGGUUAUACGAGAGGCCCAAGUUGAUAAACGCCGGCGUAAAACGUGGUUCGUGCACUACGAUACUAAAGCUUAACAUCUUCAACGCUGUUAUACGCAUUCGAAGCCAGGAAGCCCUCCAACGAAAGUAGCUUUACAUGACACUACUCCACGAAAGCUAGGAAACAAACUGGGAUUAGAUACCCCACUAUGCCUAGCCCUAAACACAAGUGAAUAUUUACACCCCUCGCUUGCCAGGGAACUACAAGCCCCAGCUUAAAACCCAAAGGACUUGGCGGUGCUUUAGACCCACCUAGAGGAGCCUGUUCUAGAACCGAUAACCCCCGUUAAACCUCACCCUCUCUUGUUUUUCCCGCCUAUAUACCGCCGUCGUCAGCUUACCCCGUGAGGGCUUAAUAGUGAGCAAAAUUGGCACAGCCUAAAACGUCAGGUCGAGGUGUAGCGUACGAGAGGGGAAGAAAUGGGCUACAUUCACUGCCCCAGUGAAAACGAACAAUGUACUGAAACGGACAUUCAAAGGAGGAUUUAGCAGUAAGGUGGGAACAGAGUGCCCCCCUGAAACUGGCCCUGAAGCGCGCACACACCGCCCGUCACUCUCCCCCAGUAAAUGGAUCUUCAUAUAUAAAAAGCAACCACAACAAAGGGGAGGCAAGUCGUAACAUGGUAAGUGUACCGGAAGGUGCACUUGGAUAAAC
rnacentral:ncRNA from 1 species